rnacentral:rRNA from 1 species
CCUACGGGAGGCAGCAGUGGGGAAUAUUGCACAAUGGGCGCAAGCCUGAUGCAGCGACGCCGCGUGCGGGAUGGAGGCCUUCGGGUUGUAAACCGCUUUUGUUCAAGGGCAAGGCACGGUCUUUGGCCGUGUUGAGUGGAUUGUUCGAAUAAGCACCGGCUAACUACGUGCCAGCAGCCGCGGUAAUACGUAGGGUGCAAGCGUUAUCCGGAUUUAUUGGGCGUAAAGGGCUCGUAGGCGGUUCGUCGCGUCCGGUGUGAAAGUCCAUCGCUUAACGGUGGAUCCGCGCCGGGUACGGGCGGGCUUGAGUGCGGUAGGGGAGACUGGAAUUCCCGGUGUAACGGUGGAAUGUGUAGAUAUCGGGAAGAACACCAAUGGCGAAGGCAGGUCUCUGGGCCGUUACUGACGCUGAGGAGCGAAAGCGUGGGGAGCGAACAGGAUUAGAUACCCCAGUAGUC